rnacentral:rRNA from 1 species
CGCCCUUGAGUUUGAUCAUGGCUCAGAGCGAACGCUGGCGGCAGGCUUAACACAUGCAAGUCGAACGGGCGUAGCAAUACGUCAGUGGCAGACGGGUGAGUAACGCGUGGGAACGUACCUUUUGGUUCGGAACAACCCAGGGAAACUUGGGCUAAUACCGGAUAAGCCCUUACGGGGAAAGAUUUAUCGCCGAAAGAUCGGCCCGCGUCUGAUUAGCUUGUUGGUGAGGUAAUGGCUCACCAAGGCGACGAUCAGUAGCUGGUCUGAGAGGAUGAUCAGCCACAUUGGGACUGAGACACGGCCCAAACUCCUACGGGAGGCAGCAGUGGGGAAUAUUGGACAAUGGGCGCAAGCCUGAUCCAGCCAUGCCGCGUGAGUGAUGAAGGCCCUAGGGUUUUUUUGCUCUUUUGUGCGGGAAGAUAAUGACGGUACCGCAAGAAUAAGCCCCGGCUAACUUCGUGCCAGCAGCCGCGGUAC